GAUGUUAAAGAGGUUGCCAGUAUAUGACAAAAGUAGAAUUAGUAAACUACUACAUUGAGUACACUUUGUGUUAAAAUUCAUAGGAAAGACUUCUUAAAAACAGAAGUGAGAUUGUUAAAAUCCCCCCUAAGCAUUACAGAUGGCUUAUAGCUGUCCACGGGGUUGGUAGAGGUGGGAAAGGGAAGGGUUCUAGGCCAGAAUGUUCCUAUUUAGAAGACACUCAAAUUACAGUCUGUGUUAUGUAUGUAUACCAUUUAUUCAAUGCUACUGUGUAUAUAAUGAAAAACUUAAGUCCAGUUUGAAACAUCUAGUCUUUCUAGGUGUUUAAAAGUGUACAACGGCCUGUUGCAGUGGCUCAUACCUGUAAUCCCAGCACUUUGGGAGGCCGAGGCAGGCGGAUCACGGGGUCAGAAGUUCGAGACCAGUCUGGCCAACAUA
rnacentral:lncRNA from 1 species